rnacentral:rRNA from 1 species
UACGAAGGGUGCAAGCGUUACUCGGAAUUACUGGGCGUAAAGGGCGUGUAGGCGGCUCGUUAAGUCGGGUGUGAAAGCCCGGGGCUCAGCUCCGGAAGUGCGUCCGAAACUGGCGAGCUGGAGCGCGGUAGAGGGUGGUGGAAUUUCCUGUGUAGCGGUGAAAUGCGUAGAUAUAGGAAGGAACACCAGUGGCGAAGGCGACCACCUGGACUGAUACUGACACUGAGGUGCGAAAGCGUGGGGAGCAAACAGG